rnacentral:rRNA from 1 species
CGGUUAAUUGCCUAGAAAAUAUUUUUCAUAUGUCUUACUCGCCCGUACCGUAAACCGACACAGGUGGGUGAGUGUAAAUGCACUAAGGCGCGCGAGAGAGACCUCUCUAAGGAACUCGGCACAUUAGCCUCGUAACUUCGGGAAAAGAGGUGCUCACUUCGGUGAGCCACAGUAAAUUGCGUUUAGCGACUGUUUAACAAAAACACAGCACUCUGCUAAGUCGUUAAGACGACGUAUAGGGUGUGACACGUGACCAAUGCGGAAAGAUUAAGGCAUUUUGUUAGCCGCAAGGCGAAGCUCGGUGCCAAAGUCCCCGUGAAUGUCGGCCGUAACUAUAACGGUCCUAAGGUAGCGAAAUUCCUUGUCGGGUAAGUUCCGACCUGCACGAAUCGUGUAACGACUGAACGACUGUCUCGGAGAGGAUCUCGGCGAAACUGUAACUGCGGUGAAGAUGCCGCAUGCCCGCAGUAGGACGGAAAGACCCUAUGCACCUUUACUGUAAGCUGGUAUUGUGUUCUGAUUAAUAAUGCGUAGCGUAGGUGGGAGGCUUUGAAGUGAGUGCUUCGGUGCUCAUGGAGCCGCAAUGUGAAACACCACUCUUUGCUAAUUAGGAUUCUAACCUCGAUUCCUGUCAACCAGGCGAGGGACAGUGCUUGCGGGUCAGUUUGACUGGGGCGGUUUCCUCCCAAAGAGUAACGGAGGAGCGCGAAGCUUGGCUCAGCACGGUUGGCAACCGUGCGUCGAGCGUAUGGGUAUAAGCCAGGUUAACUGUGAGACCUACAAGUCGAGCAGAUGCGAAAGCAGGCCCAAAUGAUCCGAUGGUUUAAUGUGGAAUUGCCAUCGCUCAACGGACAAAAGGUACGCUAGGGAUAACAGGCUGAUCGGUUCCAAGAGUUCACAUCGACGAACCGGUUUGGCACCUCGAUGUCGGCUCAUCGCAUCCUGGGGCUGGAGAAGGUCCCAAGGGUCCGGCUGUUCGCCGGUUAAAGCGGUACGCGAGCUGGGUUCAGAACGUCGUGAGACAGUUCGGUCCUUAUCCACUGUGGGCGCAGGAAUCUUGAGGGGUUCAUUCUCUAGUACGAGAGGACCGAGAAUGACGCACUUCUGGUGUGGCAGUUGUUCCAUCAGGGGCAUCGCUGCGUAGCCAUGUGCGGAAGAGAUAAGCGCUGAAAGCAUCUAAGUGCCAAGCUCAUCCCAAGAUAUGGAUUCCCGGACGCAAGUCCCUAAAGACCCCCGGCAGACUACCGGGUUGAUAGGUCAGGCAUGUAAGCGUCGCGAGAUGUUUAGUGGACUGAUACUAAUUGGUC